AUAUCAGUUCUUUUUUUUUAGCUGACUUUUAUUUAUGUUUGACUUCAUUUCAUCUACAGUUCAUAUUUGAUAUUGAGGUCAUUUUAUUUUUCAAUUUAGUUUGUUGAAAUUCUGAGGGCUUAAGUAGAGAAUAAUUUCCUCUAAGAUAGGUUUAAAUGUGCUUCUUCUGGGUUCCAAGGAACACUAUUAACCUGGGAAACUAUCUUGAGCUUAGCUUCAAUUUAUCGAUAUAUGAUUUUUAUGAUUAGAGAUCUACUUUUAAUUUGAACUUCAGACCCAAGUGAGAUCUGUAAUUGCAAACAUGCAGGGUAUAUUAUUAUUAACCCCCAGCCACAGCAUAAAAAUAUGAUUUCUUACAGCCUUCCAUUAGUGAUAGGCACAUUUUUGUACCCUCCUGUUUUAGCCCCCAGUGAGACUCUGCACUUAAUAUACAGGUGUAAGAUUCAUCCCCAACUUAGCACAAGUCCAUGAUUUAGUCAGUUUUUCCUAAACUGAUAUUGAAUUUGCCUCUAAGACAGUCUCAGAUUUCUUUGACUAAAAUCACUUCUCUGAUUACAAGUCAUCUUUUGUUAUUUUUAUUGUUUUGUGUUUUAUUUCUUUGGUGGGAGAACUUAAUUGCCUGCCUUAUCUUCUUACAAUCUCAGCAAUGUAUUAACUGUUAUGUUAUUUUAUCCUCUCUCUAGUAAUACUGUGGACUGGUAUUCUUUUUAAGACCUACUCUAAUACACUUAUUUAUAUAUUUUGUAAAAGGAAUAGAAAUGCAGUGAAAUUCAGAUCACAGAGAAUCAUAAAGAAAUUUGCUUUUGGAAAAAUCAGUUCUGUGUAAUUAGCAGUGAUUUCCAGAAACAUUUCUUCUUCUAACACUGAUGUGAAGGAAAAUGCAGGUAAUCAUGAUCAUUCUUGGCAGUAAUUCUACAAGUAUGUACAGAACCAAUUUUAGGGUGGCAUCAAUACUGUGGCCAGGAGAGCUGAGAGAUAGUAAAACUUGAGCCUUUAUAAUACUAAUGAGCUCCUAAAUUGAUAAAUUCUGAAGAUUGUCUUUCUCCUAGACUUCUUCUGUAUCAGCUUAUUCAUAGCAAUCAUAGUUAAGCUGUUUGAAUCAGAGUUCCUUGAGUCAGCAUCCUAAAUGAAUAAAAUAUUUGUGUUAGAAAUGGAAAUCUGGAAAUAACAUUCUAAAAUAUGGAAUUGAGUAAAAUUGAUACAAGGCAAUAAGGAUAAUAUUUUUCUGUCACAGGAAUCUGAAAAUACUAGUUAUUCUACAGAAAAGUUCUUUUUAACUAUUGCCUAUUGUAUAUUGUGAUGUAUCAACUUUUGAUGAUGGCUGAGUCAUCAUGAAUCCUAGUAGGAAAUAUUUAUGAGAUUGAACUAGGUUGAAUCUUUUCUUUGGCAUUACAUAACACCUUAAAAUAUGGAGAAAACUUUUGUCUGCAAGUGACUCAUGAAAUCUGAGCGAGAAAAAUAUGUCUCUGCUAAGAGAGGUCAUCUUCACUUAUGAUUACAAUCAAAACAUUUGGAAGUUUAGUAAUCAUGGGCCUGGAUGAUUUAGGAAAGCUAAGACUUGUAAGAACGUUACUCUAAACGUUUGGGAAUUUGAGAGAAAAUAAGAUUAGAACAAAACACUUGUCCCCCCAAACCUCUUCCAAGCACCUCCUGUAAAGCAUUGUGUGACUGAUGAAGGGCACAGUCUGAUUAUUGUGAAGAUACGGCUGUCUAAAGCAGCGAUAUUCGUGCCAGAGGCAGUUGGUUAAAUCACCUGGUAACUGAGACCAAGAGGAAAGGAAAGUGUUACAUUAAGGUCUCAUGGCACAGACAGAGCACAGAGCUUGUUAUCAUAAACCAGAAACUUCCAGAUUCAUAGGCCCAAAUAAUUGCUGAUUGUGUAUUAGUAGUCAUGCAGUUAAUUGAAAACAAGUAGGCUGUAUAACUAGUUUUAAAAGAAAUGUAUACCAAAGUGACCCCAAGCCUGGUUAGAGUAUAUGAUUGCUAAACCUUCUAAAGUAAACACUAGUCCCAAGAAUUUUCACCUACAGAAAGUACGUUGCUAAAGUGGUGCAGACCCAGAAAAGAAAUUUUACACUGUCCACUCUAAGGUCACAGAGACAACAGACAUGGCUAUACUCUGAGAGAGGAGAAUAAAAGCUCUCUGAUUCACAAGCUAUGAAAAUCACUUCACUGACAGAACAGGAAUUUUUUGUAACUCUGUCCAACAAGUAAAGUAUAUUAUAGACAACUGCAUAUUUUCCCAUUGUCCACCUUUACAAAAGGGAGUUUUUUAUUGUAAUUAUCAUGCUUUUUACCACUUUGUGUACAGUUAAGGAAGAUAAAUCACUGGACCAUUGGGAGCCAUGUCAGAGGACUGAAUACUACCCAGAGAUCUUGUACUUCAGAAUAAAUGCAGUAAUUGACUUUGGAUUUUCUCCCUUUGGGAAGGAAUUAAGACAUAUUUCAAGUGGGCAUGAAUUUUUUUUAAAUGUAUUGUAGAAUGUGUGGAAUGAAAAUAUGUAUGUGGAAUAAGUUCUCGGAUAGCCAAAGAGCUUGUAAUAUUGGAUUUUAAUUGUUGCUUAUCCAUUUAUAUUCCAUAUGCCCCCUUCAUUUCCCUACUAGAAACUGAAUUCAUUUUCCCCAAAUAUCCAGUUCAUUCUAUGAAGCUUAUAUAACUUAGCAGAGACUGAGUGGGCUCCGUUUAGUCUAAACCAAUCACAAUAUUUAUCUUUACACCUAUCAGUGAUUGGUUGGAAAAUAGACACGGAAUUUACUGAGAAUUAAAAGAAUUAGGAAGUCAGCUAAGGGCUUCUGGGAAAGUUCUUCUUUGCUCUUCAGUCAAGAACGUAAGAACAGGAAUAAGCCUCUAAAACUGAUUGCUACUGGCAGUCACCUUGUAACCCUGAGGGCAACCAGUCUUAGCAUAAAGCCAACCUGAGGACAAAAGAGAUAAAAGACAGAUAAAACCAAUGACUCUGAUGACCUCAUUAAGUCAUGUAUUCAGUGAGCUUAGAAAUCUGCUCCAACUUCCAGUUUUAUGAGACAAUAGAUGAUCUCAUUGUUUUAGCAAGUUUAUAUAGAAUUCCUAUUAAUUAAUCCAAAAGCAUUCUAAAUAAUAUAAUUGUAUUCCCCAUCUAUUCCCUCUGGAAAACCUAGAGGGUGCUUGUGAAGAGAUUCUAUAUAGGACAGUUUUCCAGGGGUAUCCACAGUAAUUCCAUACAUCAAGCAUCUCUGUGGCCUAGUUUUACAGAAAACUAAGUGCUUUUUAUUCCAUUCUGUCCUCUUUUAUGAUAACCCCCUGUAAAACUGGAUGGUCUAUAUAUGUUUGUACUCCAUUUCUGGACUAUUCAGGUACUUAGCCAUGUGACUUCAGGUUUCCUUGAAGAGCAAAAAAUUACACUGGGUAUUUAUUUCAGUGUCUGGACAGCUCAUGAUAAGAAUAUUCUAUUUCAUUUUAGUUUUGUCAAUAGGGAGGGUUGUGUACCCAGAGGAAAAUGAUAACCAAAACAGUAUAAUGUUUUCUCAUGCUUGAGAAUACUAAUGCUGUUAAAUAUUUCUUCUGAAACACUAUGUGUAGUGAAUGACUGGAAUUCAAUCCUAGGUGUAAACUUUAAUUUACUCCAUCUUUCCCCAGUUUUUAUACUUACAUUUUUUAUUGUCCUUUGCUUUUGUAAGUAACGCCUCUAUAAACAUUUUCAUACAAAAUCAGUAUUAUUCAAUAGAAUUAUUUUUGAAUUCCUAUUUUAGCAAGAUGCUUAUGUAUUUCAAAUUUAGUACUAGGUAUUCAUUAGGAAAUUUGAUUCUUGUUAUCAUGGAGCUUACAAAGUACUGAGGAGAGAGAUGCAAAAUAAAAUCUCACAAUAACA